rnacentral:lncRNA from 9 species
AUGGGCGCGGGUGCAACGGGGUUGAGGCGGAGCCACUAAAAUGAUGGAGCCUAGAUUGAAGGUGCGGAAGGAGGGCAGGGACGGCAAGAGGUGCAAACACGGCAUCUCCAGAAGGGAAGUGGUUUGCUACGUGGCACGGAGCGGCUUCCGAGCAGAGCCUAGAUCUGACCCCCGAGACACGAGCUGCCGGAAAGGCUGGACUGGAGUUUCAGUUACUGGAAAGAAUGGAAGUUAAAAAUAAAGCGGCUGGGAUCCAUAGAAGUUGAUGCUGCAGGUCUGCAUGAUGAAAAGUGUCGUAGAGAGUUCUUGAGUCUGAAGGCCAAUGAUAUCAGAUGGAAAGUGGGAUCUACAACAUGAAAGAACGGCGUUGGAAAUGAUAAAUAUAUGGGGGAAGGCAGUGAUUGUGUCAAACAGCCGUAUGGAGAGGUCUGCAUAGGGAAGAACUGAAGUCUACCAAAACCCACAGGAAUAAUCUUGGAUGUGGACACUCUAUCCCCAGGUGAAAGAUUUCUGUCCUCAAAAUAGAUUACACAAUGUUCCAUCAGAUACUGUAACAUCCCCUGAGGAUUUUCAUGCCUUUAUAAUCUCAUCUGAAGACUAAAAGAACCCUAGCCACUACCAAGUUCUUUAUGAAAAGUCGUGGGUAGAAAUGAAGGAUGGAUUUAAAAAAAUAAUUAAAUAAAACACGAAGAUGUAAGCUCAGCUUCUACAUAAUGGAUCAUGAGGUACCAAGGAAAGGCCGUGUGAGGACAUAGUGAAGAGGUAGCUGUCCACAAACCAAGAGGGUGCUCACCAGGAACUUAAUUUGCCAGCACCUUGAUUCUGGAUUCCCCAGUCUCCAGAAAUAGAAGAAACAUGAUGUACCAGCAAAACUUUAGUCUGCAAAGGAUCAUGAGCCAAUAAGCUGCAAUUGUUGCUUUGAAAAGGCAGAAGCAAAAGAAGAGUUGAUGGAGAUACCAGGCAUGAAAGGGUCGUAAGUUCUGGGCUUUCCAAUAAUAAGCUAUUCUCCUCCAGAUGAUUUUAAUAAUCUCCAGCACAUGUGUUCUAACCCCUUGAUGCUGUACAAUAUGUGUAACUAAAUAAAAGAUCUCUCCAGAUUCAGAGAUUUACUGUUUGUGAUGGGAAAAGGCCAACCAGAUGACAUCAUUUAUAUUCCAAAUAUGAGCUGCUGCCAAGGCUGGUGAUGUUAAGCUGGAGAAAUUGAUCCUUAGUGUUAUUCUAUGAAAGAAAAGAGAAAAAGGUCUUGGCCUAGAUAGUGUAAUUUUUAAAAAUUUAUGUGAAUUUGAAGAUGAGUUUAAUAAACUUCUAUUUUAUCUAGAAUUGCUUAUGUGCAAUGCAUGGGCUGUUUAGGUACACAAUUACUUCCAUAUAUAAAGUUAGCAGGUUAGAGGAUAAGAAUUACCAUUUUGCCGUUGUUGUUGUUGAAUGGAUAAUCGGUGGUGGUGGGGAUUGACCUGAGGCCUGUCUGCCCCAGCAGAACACACAAGGCAUCAGGGCUGUGCUCACUUGUUCAAAAGCAAAGGUGCCCACUUUGUAAGUGGAGUGUGACAGUCUCUGCUCCCAUCCUUCAACCUCUUCCUUUCUAACAGAACCAUGUUUUCUUUUCAUAUAUCCACAUCCUCCACUACUACGGAAUGCAGAGAAGUUGACACCAUUCCCAGUUUCAAAGGUAGAUCUUGAUUAAUCUAGACCAACAAACACAUGGCAUUCCCCCCAUGACCAGGGAUUCAGGAGUGACUUGUGAGUGUAAUCAGACAAAGGAAAGGACUUAGAUUCCAUACUUGAGGAAAAGGAUUUUCCUUUUCUCUCCUGAGAGAUUAUAACAAAUAGGAAUAGAUCCCUACUUGCUGUUGGCAUCUGUUUUAUAAUUUCAAGAGGGAGUCAAGUUUAGAAUAAGGCCGCCACUGGGGAUGGCUGAUUGAAAAACAAAGUCCUCAACUAUAUCUUUGAGCCUCUGAUUGUGCUGUGCUUUUGCUAUCCUUAAACUUUUAUGUAAAUAUUGCUUUCCCUUAUUAUUUAAGCCAGCUUGCAUUUCUGUUGCUUAUACCUGAAAUCGUCCUGGUUGGAAGAGGUGACAAAAUUUGAUUUCUGAGAUCCCAUCAGCACUUUUUUUUGGGGGGGGGCAUACUCUCAUGGCAUUUUUGAAGACAGAGAGUUUUGAGUCUGUGUUGAAUGGCUUUGUGUGCUGUCUCCACACACAGAGUGACUUUCUAAAAUAAGGAGUACUCAUAAUACUCCCUGGCAUCUUGAUCUUUACUCCUUCCAGCCUCGUCUCAGCCAUACUCAUCAGCCCCGCUACCACCUUUCAGUUACUCGGACGUGUUCUCCUUUCUCUCACCUCCAGCCUUGCUCAUGCUCUUCCACUGACUCUAGCAAACUCCUUGACAGCCUCCUUCCCCAUACUUCCCCUCUAUCAAGUCUUGACCUGGGCAUCAUUUCCCCCGGGAAGCCUUCCCUUUGUUGGUCUUCCUAAUACUACCCUAACGUCCUAUUCAUCCCUAUCAGAGCACUUUCCACUUUAUAUGGAAAUGACCCAUCAUCUCAGUUGGACUGUGGAUCCAGUGAGGUCAGGAAACAUCUGUUCUGUUUACAGUUUUGUCCCCAGGGCUUAACACAUAGUUGGUACUACAUAAAAUAUUUGUUGAAAGAAUGAUGAAUUAAUUACUUAAAGCUUUUCAAACAUGCCACAUUACCCAGUGCCCAAGUGCCUUAAUAUGGCCUUCAAUGAUCUGGCCCUGACUUCCUGUCCAGUCCCCUCUUCUCUUACGCACCAGAAAUUUCCUAUUUAAAGUGCACUGACUUACACAUCCUCUGCUGUUUCAUGUCUCAGUGCCCACGAGGAGCAUCUUGCUACUUCCUGAAACUACCCAUUGUUUUGCAGCUCGUCUUCCUUAAGUGGGGAGAGUUCUGUAAAAUAGUAAAAUGAAUGAAAACAAUGAAAACAAACAAAAAAACACUUCACCAAAAAAAAAAAAAAAAAAAGAAAAAAGAAAAAAAAAA